CGAUGGCCGCGGAGGGGGCAGGCUGGGGCCUGGCCCACGGAGGCCGAUGGAAGGCGAUGGCCGAAGAGCCAUGCCCCUUGUCGAGGGCAUGCUGUGGGUCUCGCGCCUGUCUGUCUCGCCGCCGCCGCGGCCGCCGUCACCACCCUGAGAGCCCAUCUGAAGUUAGACUGGCUACGUUUCAAGGGCUCAGCAGCCACAACUGAUAGCGGCUACCGCAUCGGACCAUGCAGAGCUAGAUGGGGAGGCAGGAAAGAAAUCAAGUGGAUUCCACACCAAGUGGUGAAAAGUGCUUGUGGGAUCCUAGUUCCCCAACCAGGGAACGAAUUCCGGCCCUUGGCAGUAAAAGCACUGAGUGCCGAGUCCUAACCACCGGACUUCCAAGGAAGUCCCCAGGUUAUCCUUGUUAUCUCUCUAAGCACAUGCUCUGAGGGUCCGUGAGAUCAGGAGACAGAAAGAUGACUCAGCUUGGGUUCCUGCUCUUGAGCACAUCACUGCUGCAAGGGAGAAGAGGACAUGUAGACACAUAAACCCAGUUAGUGUGACGAGGGCCAGGCACAGAGCACCACCUCUCAUGAGGGCAGAGUCUGGGCCAGAGGACAGCAGGAGCAAGGGUCUACCAGCCAGAGGAUGUGGGAAGUGGGGCUUCCAGAUAGAGGGACCAGCCAGAGAAGAGGCACAGCUUUUGUUCCCGAGCGUGGUUCGGGAGCAGGGAGCGGUGGGACACGCCAAGUGCAGGUUAUGAGGAAGGAGGACGGUGAGAUGGGACUGGAGAGGUGUCUGUCUCCAGCUGCAAAGGGCCCUAGAGAGUCAGGCAUGGAAGGUGGGAUUUUAUCCAUCAGACCAGGAGCCGGCAGACUACAGCCCGAUUCCACCCACGCCUUUUUUUUUGUACAGCCUGUGAGCUACAAACGAUUUUUACAUUUUUUUUAAUUAUUACUUUUUUAAUAAAUUUGUUUAUUUAUUUAUUUUUGGCUGUGUUGGGUCUUUGUUGCCGCACCCAGGCUUUCUCUAGAUGCGGAGACCAGGGGCUACUCUUUGUUGUGGUGGGCGUGUUUCUCAUUGCGGUGGCUUCUCUUGUUGCAGAGCAUGGGCUCUAGGCGUGCGGGCUUCAGUAGUUGUGGCUCGCAGGCUCUAGACCACAGGCUCAGUAGUUGUGGUGCACGGGCUUAGUUGCUCUGCAGCAUGUGGGAUCUUCCCUGACCAGGGAUCAGACCCGUGUCCCCUGCAUUGGCAGGCAGAUUCUUAACCACUGUGCCACCCGGGAAGUCCCUACAUUUUUAAAUGGCUGGAAAAAACCAAAAGAAGAAUAACAUUUUGUGACAUGG